rnacentral:rRNA from 1 species
GGGCCCGCACAAGCGGUGGAGCAUGUGGUUUAAUUCGAUGCAACGCGAAGAACCUUACCUACCCUUGAAUCUACAGGAAUUUGCAAGAGAUUGCGAAGUGCCUUCGGGACCUGUAAGACAGGUGCUGCAUGGCUGUCGUCAGCUCGUGUCGUGAGAUGUUGGUUAAGUCCCGUAACGAGCGCAACCCUUGUCCUUAGUUGCCAGCGAUUCGGUCGGGAACUAUAAGGGGACUGCCGGUGAUAAACCGGAGGAAGGUGAGGACGACGUCAAGUCAUCAUGGCCCUUACGAGUAGGGCUACACACGUGCUACAAUGGGGAAUACAGACGGACGCUAAGCCGCGAGGUGGUG